UACGAAGGGGGCUAGCGUUGUUCGGAAUUACUGGGCGUAAAGCGCGCGCAGGCGGUCCUUUAAGUCUGAUGUGAAAGCCCACGGCUCAACCGUGGAGGGUCAUUGGAAACUGGAGGACUUGAGUACAGAAGAGGAAAGCGGAAUUCCACGUGUAGCGGUGAAAUGCGUAGAGAUGUGGAGGAACACCAGUGGCGAAGGCGGCUUUCUGGUCUGUAACUGACGCUGAGGCGCGAAAGCGUGGGGAGCAAACAGG
rnacentral:rRNA from 1 species